CUUUAUUUUAAAGAUCCCGAGAGAGGCUGAACAGAUCUCAGGAAGAGCAGAAACAGCACCACAGUAAUCUCGGAAACCAGCAGCCUCACAAACUAUGUUUUCUGUGAAAAGCAGCAUCUUAGUAGCCACAGAAGAGGGCAGAAUGGGUUCGGACUCUCCAAAAUACCCUAUGCCCAAAGAAGUAUUAUUGUUUGAGUCAUAUGGAAGCUCCCUGGAAGAGAACCAUUCUCAAGGCUUGUCUUUAUUUGACCCAACUCAGAGUUCAGACCUGUGGGACACCAUCAAGUCACCAACAUUUACAUAAUGGGAGUCCCAGAGGAGAGGAAUGAGAGCAAGAGACAGAGAGAAAAUCUAAAGGAAUAAUGGCUAAAAACAAAUUUGAUUAAAAACAUUAAUCUAGCCAUACAAAAGUCUGACAAACUCCAAGAAGGACAAUCUCCAAGAGAUUCACACCUAGAUGCAUUAUAGUCAAAUGAUCAAAAGCCUAAGACAGAAUCUUGAAAGUGGCAAGAGAGAAGUGACUCAUCAUUUACGAGGGAUCUCCAUGGGGUUAACAGCUGACUUCUCAUGAGAACCCAUGGAGGUCAGAAGGCAGUGGGAUUCCGUGUCCAGAGUCUUGAAAGAGAGAUUGCCAGCCAAGAAGUUUAUAUCCAGCACAAGUAUCCUUAAAAAAUGAAGGUGAAUUUAAGACAUUCCCAAUCAUGUCUUCUUUUGACUUCUUCAGGUGCUUUAGAAUAUGAUCUCUUUCAGCGUUGACUCCACUCCAGUGUUCUAUACACUGCCACCUGCAGAGAGGAUAGAUGAAGGACACACAGGUGGAGGAAGAUGGAAAGUCUCUUGUCUUGGAUGGUUGAAGACUAACCUGAAAGAAUAUGAUGUCACCACAUCCACCAGAAUCAAGAGAAGACAUUGAUAAGAAGGGCUUAUUGGCAUGGUGGAACCAUUAUCUCUAAAGCUGUUGAAGGAGAUGGCCCAGCCUUUCCCAGAGGAUGGUGUGACAUGUGGUGCGGAGCUUGCAGAAAGCAGAGAUGCUAAUGGUGGGGGAGCAUGGGUGGCCCCACUGUCCUUGGGUGCUGUAGACUGAAGAGAGUACCAUGGAUGAACACAGAUGGAUGAGAGCUGACACAUGAGCCCAAGGAUUGGUGAUGGACCUUUGGUAGGCCGAAGCCCCAAACUCAUCUUGUGUCUGACAGGAGUGAAUGUCACCAAAAGAAAUAUGAUGAUACCAUCCUGAUCACCUAACCUUCUGUAAUCCCGUGAAAGAAACACUGCAUUGACUAACAGAAGCAAUCCUCUUACCAGGCUGCCCUCCUGGAACCAGGACCCACCUAUGGUUGCCUGUGACAACCACAUUGCUCUGAGUCUAGAGCUGUCAGGGAAUCUGUUAAUCCCACAUACGAGGUAGAAGGUCUGUGAGGUCCCCAAAGGGAAGAAACAGAGAACAGGGCCUUUGCAAGUCCUAGUCCAGGCUUGGGGUACUCCAUCUGGAUGACACUGCUAGCCUCCCUCACCACAGGUCUUACGCAUGAGAGAGGAGGUACUGGCCCCCUUGAGGUGUGAGGCCUGCCCAGGACAGGGCCCUGCUGGCUCUGAUCUUAGGGUGCUACUGUUCUCACAUUCACUUCUCCCUGCUAGCUACCUUGACGGUUAAGUGUUCCUUGGUUUAAAUGAUUUCAGAGAGGGAAUCUGGUUGUCCUAGCUAAUCACUUUUGCUCUAGCCCAGUAGUACUCAGAGUAUGGUCUGAGGACCCCUGGGGUCUGAGACUCCUUCAGGGGAUCUGUAUGGUUAAAACUCUUUUCGUGAUAAUACUCAGAUUUCAUUCGCCCUUUCCGUAGUGUUGACACCUCAAAAACAGUGGUGGAUAAAACUGCUGGUGCCUUGGUACAGGUCAAGGCAAUGCCACCAAACCAUUGUAGUGGUUUCUCACCGUAUUUUUCACUACCACAUACUCACAUUUGGAAAAAAAAAAAAACAACUCAGUUUCACUAAAGAGUAUCUUUGAUGAAGCAGUAGAGUACUGAUUUUAUUAAACCUUGACUUUUGA